rnacentral:lncRNA from 1 species
AUGCGUUACUGAGCAUGUCCGGUGCCCGAAGGGGCGCUUUGGACGCCAGUGAAGCGAGGAGAGGCGGAGAAGGAACCGAGCGGGCAGUUGAGGGAAAUCUCGGAGGAGGUUACCUGCGAUCAAACUGGGGCUGCGUAGUGUUAGGGUCAGGCAGCUUUGAAGUGGAAUCCGGAUCCGCCACUCUCGCUGCGUGAUAUUGGGCAUGCCAUCAAAGCGCUCUCAACCGAACGUCUCGGGUAAAAUGGGAUUAGUGAAGUCUACCAAGGUAGUUGUGAGGAUCAAAAGAGAUAACGCGGAAAACGCCUCACCUGGCACGUUAUAGAUCCUAAAUGCCUAGCUAUUAUUAUGGAGCCCACAACCUCCAUAUUUUACAACUGGGAACACGGGACUCAAAGAGAUUAAAAAACUAAAUGACUCACUCAAGGUCAGGUAGUGGUGGAGACCCAGGCUUCAAGUUCAAUACUCUUUGUCCUACAAAGCCUUCCCUUAAGCAGGGGUAAUAAAACAUUUCAGAAAAACCACCUUAAAGAGCAUCGCUUGUGAUCUGUGGAUCACUUGGUAGUCCCCACCUCCCUCCCAUCCCCGCAAAGGUUUAGAGCUGGACAUAAGGGCCUUGGUGCAACUUUUGGAGGGCAGUUGUUCAGCUUCUGAAUUUGCAUCUGAACGAGCAAUAAGGAAUUUUCUGGGAAGUUAAGAAUUUCCAAUAAAUCUUGGACUACUCUAAAAUGCACCAGAAAUUACGUGGUCACACUCGUGCAGUGAAAGAAGGCUUUGGCAGUAGCAUAAGACAUUAAGCAGAAGUAGGAAAUGCAGUGAGGAAGAAGUUGUAAUGUUUUCAACAGCUGCCACUAUGGAUCUAGGAUGAGAGCUUUCCACAUGUUGUUAAGAAUGAGAGACAGAUUACU